rnacentral:rRNA from 1 species
GAAUUGUUCGCAAUGGGCGCAAGCCUGACGACGCAACGCCGCGUGGAGGAUGAAGGUCUUCGGAUUGUAAACUCCUGUUGCUCGGGACGAAUGGCUCCAACCUAACACGUUGGAGUGUGACGGUACCGAGUGAGGAAGCCCCGGCUAACUCCGUGCCAGCAGCCGCGGUAAUACAGAGGGGGCUAGCGUUGUUCGGAAUUACUGGGCGUAAAGGGCGCGUAGGCGGCCUUCUAAGUCGAACGUGAAAUCCCCGGGCUCAACCCGGGAACUGCGUCCGAUACUGGAGGGCUCGAAUCCGGGAGAGGGAUGUGGAAUUCCAGGUGUAGCGGUGAAAUGCGUAGAUAUCUGGAGGAACACCGGUGGCGAAGGCGGCAUCCUGGACCGGUAUUGACGCUGAGGCGCGAAAGCCAGGGGAGCAAACGGG